AGUGAACGCUGGCGGUAGGCCUAACACAUGCAAGUCGAACGGCAGCACAGGAGAGCUUGCUCUCUGGGUGGCGAGUGGCGGACGGGUGAGGAAUACAUCGGAAUCUACUCUGUCGUGGGGGAUAACGUAGGGAAACUUACGCUAAUACCGCAUACGACCUACGGGUGAAAGCAGUGGAUCUUCGGACCUUGCGCGAUUGAAUGAGCCGAUGUCGGAUUAGCUAGUUGGCGGGGUAAAGGCCCACCAAGGCGACGAUCCGUAGCUGGUCUGAGAGGAUGAUCAACCACACUGGAACUGAGACACGGUCCAGACUCCUACGGGAGGCAGCAGUGGGGAAUAUUGGACAAUGGGCGCAAGCCUGAUCCAGCCAUACCGCGUGGGUGAAGAAGGCCUUCGGGUUGUAAAGCCCUUUUGUUGGGACAGAAAUCCAGCUGGCUAAUACCCGGUUGGGAUGACGGUACCCAAAGAAUAAGCACCGGCUAACUUCGUGCCAGCCGCCGCGGUAA
rnacentral:rRNA from 1 species